UACGAAGGGGGCGAGCGUUGUUCGGAUUUACUGGGCGUAAAGGGCGCGCAGGCGGCUUUGUUUGUCAGGCGUGAAAGCCCCGGGCUUAACCUGGGAACUGCGUUUGAUACGGCAGGGCUAGAGUUCGGGAGAGGAGAGUGGAAUUCCCAGUGUGGAGGUGAAAUUCGUAGAUAUUGGGAAGAACGCCGGUGGCGAAGGCGGCUCUCUGGGACGUGACUGACGCUGAGACGCGAAAGCGUGGGGAGCAAACAGG
rnacentral:rRNA from 1 species